rnacentral:rRNA from 1 species
GAUGAACGCUGGCGGCGUGGAUAAGGCAUGCAAGUCGAACGGUAAGGCCCUUCGGGGUACACGAGUGGCGAACGGGUGAGUAACACGUGGGUGAUCUGCCCUGCACUUCGGGAUAAGCCUGGGAAACUGGGUCUAAUACCGGAUAGGACCACUGCCUGCAUGGGUGGUGGUGGAAAGCUUUUGCGGUGUGGGAUGGGCCCGCGGCCUAUCAGCUUGUUGGUGGGGUGAUGGCCUACCAAGGGCACGGCGGGUAGCCGGCCUGGGAGGGUGACCGGCCACACUGGGACUGGGAUACGGCCCAGACCCCUACGGGAGGCAGCAGUGGGGAAUAUUGCACAAUGGGCGCAAGCCUGAUGCAGCGACGCCGUGUGAGGGAUGACGGCCUUCGGGUUGUAAACCUCUUUCAGCACCGACGAAGCGCAAGUGACGGUAGGUGCAGAAGAAGGACCGGCCAACUACGUGCCAGCCGCCGCGGUAA